rnacentral:rRNA from 1 species
GAUGAACGCUGGCGGCGUGCCUAAUACAUGCAAGUCGAGCGAACAGACGAGGAGCUUGCUCCUCUGACGUUAGCGGCGGACGGGUGAGUAACACGUGGAUAACCUACCUAUAAGACUGGGAUAACUUCGGGAAACCGGAGCUAAUACCGGAUAAUAUAUUGAACCGCAUGGUUCAAUAGUGAAAGACGGUUUUGCUGUCACUUAUAGAUGGAUCCGCGCCGCAUUAGCUAGUUGGUAAGGUAACGGCUUACCAAGGCAACGAUGCGUAGCCGACCUGAGAGGGUCAUCGGCCACACUGGAACUGACACACGGUCCAGACUCCUACGGGAGGCAGCAGUAGGGAAUCUUCCGCAAUGGGCGAAAGCAUGCCGGAGCAACGCCGCGUGAGUGAUGAAGGUCUUCGGAUCGUAAAACUCUGUUAUUAGGGAAGAACAAAUGUGUAAGUAACUAUGCACGUCUUGACGGUACCUAAUCAGAAAGCCACGGCUAACUACGUG